rnacentral:tRNA from 1 species
GGAUGUAUGGCCUAACUGGACAAAGGCACUCGUCUUUUAAACGAGGAUAUCUGGGUUCAAAUCCCAGUGCAUCCA